CAUCCGAGCUUCUACAAUAAGUGGUCUCCAUCCGGGAUUCCGCGGCAACUGGUCUCCAUCUGAGCUUUUACAGUAAGCGGCCUUCUUUCGGACUUCUACAAGAAUCGGACUCCAUCCGAACUUCUACAGCGGAUGGACGGACUUCAGCCGAGCUUCUACAAUAAGUGAUCUCCAUCCGAGCUUCCACGACAACCGAUCUCCAUCCGAACUUCUACAGUAAGCAGCCUCCUUUCGGAC
rnacentral:lncRNA from 1 species